rnacentral:rRNA from 1 species
UACGUAGGGUGCGAGCGUUGUCCGGAAUUAUUGGGCGUAAAGAGCUUGUAGGCGGUCUGUCGCGUCUGCUGUGAAAAUCCGGGGCUCAACCCCGGACUCGCAGUGGGUACGGGCAGACUAGAGGUGUGGUAGGGAGACUGGAAUUCCUGGUGAUAGCGGUGAAAUGCGCAGAUAUCAGGAGGAACACCGAUGGCGAAGGCAGGUCUCUGGGCACUUACUGACGCUGGAGGAAGCGGAAAGCGUGGGGAGCGAACGGGAUUAGACUAC